UUGAUGGCGACCGGCGCACGGGUGAGUAACGCGUAUCCAACCUGCCCUUUACUAUGGGACAGCCCGUCGAAAGGCGGAUUAAUACCGUAUGUUGUCAUGUUGAUGCAUUAUUUUCAUGACCAAAGGCUUCGGCCGGUAAAGGAUGGGGAUGCGUCUGAUUAGCUUGCCGGCGGGGUAACGGCCCGACCGGGGCGACGAUCAGGUAGGGGUUCUGAGAGGAACGGUCCCCCACAUUGGAACUGAGACACGGUACCAAACUCCUACGGGAGGCAGCAG
rnacentral:rRNA from 1 species